rnacentral:lncRNA from 12 species
AUGACAUGGUCUUCUCUUUCUGUUGUCUCCAUGGUGACAAGAACUCUGCAUCUUGUGUCUGAGAUUUGCUAUGGAUUGGAUCUUAUAUCCAAGGUUUUCUCUGCCCAGGUUCCUACUGAUCUGUCUACUUUGGGGCCUCCUACAAUUCAUCACCUUCCAGUUUCCAUUGGGAAGACAAAAUUUAAAAGGGUCUACUGAGUGGCUCAUUCAGUUAAGCAUCUGUCUUCGGCUCAGGUCAUCCCAGAAUCCUGGGAUCAAGCUCCACAUCAGGCUCCCUGCUCAGCACAAAGCCUGCUUCUCCCUCUCCUUCAGCCUGCCUCUUCUCCUGCUUGUGCUCAAUCUCUCUCUUUCUCUCUCUCUCUCUCUCUCUCAAAUAAAUAAAUAAAAUAUUCUUUUUAAAGAACAAAUCUAAAAAUAUGUUUUCUUGGUAGAGUCAAGGAACUGUAAUAGUUCAAUAUUUUAUGUUUUGGUUGGUAAUUGAUUAAGAUGAUCUAUUAACUUGUGACUCGGCCACCCAAUAUUCACCUUUUCUCUGUUGCAAGGUUGUAUUAGUUAGCAAUUGCUGCAUAACAAACCACCUCAAGACUUAGUUACAUAAAAUCAUUUAUUAUUAGGGUAAUGGGCAUGAAGAGAGCACAUGAUGUAGUGAGCUUUGGGUGUUAUAUCCAACUGGUGAACCACUGAAUUCUACCUCUGAAACUAAUAAUACUCUGUAUGUUAAUUAAUUGGAUUUAAAUUAAAUUAAAUUUUAAAAUAUCAGUAAAAAAAUCAUUUAUUAUUAAAUAUCAUAAGUCACAAGACUGAAUAUUAGUUAUCUUUAUGGGCAUGCUCAUAUUUCUGCAAGUUCAUUUUAUUCCAUGUGUCUCUCAUCCUCCUCCUAAGACCUGAGGUCCUUCUUGAGGUAUGACAGUCUACCAAGAACACAGUUUCUCAACUUCAACAUUAUUGAUAAUUUAGACUGAAUAAUUUUUUCUUGUGGGGGGUUGUCAGGAUUAUAGGAUUUUCUACAGCAUCCCUGGCCUCUCCUCACUAGAUCCAAUAGAAUUCCCCAAGUUGUGACAACUAAUAUUGUUUCCAGAUACUGCCAAAAAUGUCCCUAGUUGAGAACCACUUCUCUAGAGCAUAAACAGAAAUAUGCAAGGCUUCAUAAGUGUUAUGCUUGGAGUUGGUACACUAUCACUUCUACUUCAUUCCAUUGGCCAAAUGAGUCACAUGGAAAAGAGUCGAGAGGAAGGGCAGGCCAACCUGCUCAUGACAAAGUUACACAAGAAGAGAUACGAAUACAAGGAGGUAACAAGAACCAGACUAUUAAAACAAUGGAUUUACUUCAACAAUUAUGAGUUCAAGAACUUCACUCUGAUUAGAUUUUCAUCCAAAGCUAUAUAAUAACAUUUCCACUAUUUGCAAUCUUAUUAGAACAAGCUUCCAGGACUUAGGUCUUGUACUACAACUACUUCCCUUUUGCAGCAGCUUCUAGACAUGAUAGGUAUCAUAUAGACAAAAUAACAUCAGCGCCUUUAUACUUUAUAUAUUAGGUAUUUCCAAUAUAAGACAAAAAUAUCCAAUCUAAAAAUUCCUCAUACUGUAAUUUUACAUUCUAGAAAUGAUAAGCUAUUUCUCACCUUUAAAAAGGUAUAUUCAUAUAAAACUGAAUAUUUACAGAGCAGCAUAGAAUAGCCUGCUUGACAUAAAACAAUAUAACUGCAGUGUGUAUGUUCUAUGAAUCAGAAUUGUGUGCAUGUGCAAGUAGCACAAUUUAAGAUCUCAUUGUUUUCAGUUUAGGGAAAAAACAAGAAAACAGGCUGCAGCUGUUGGUAAAUACUUUUUUUUUUUAAGAGAAACAACUAUGGUUUAGGUGAAAGAGCACAUUGAAACUAAUUCUUUUACAUUUAGGUAAUCUUGAGCAAAGUCACUUAUUCUGUCUGAAGUUCAAUUUAUUUAGCCACCAAGUAUGAAAUUGCCAAUAUUCAACUAUUUUUUUCAUCUUCAAACACAGCAAUAUCAUGCAAUUAAAAACAACAGAAAGCCACAUCAGCCCCACAAUGUUUUAGAGAUGGUUAUGAGUCCAUUGUAGUUGAUUUUAAAUGAAACUAAGACAUAUACAAUGGUAAAUAAUCCGAAAAAUACAGAAAUCCGCAAUGCAAAUGUAGAACAGUCUCUAAAACAAAGACACAACAGCAUUUUCCAGGAAGCAUCUGCUCCUUUUUAAAUAGCUUUGAUCAAAUUCCAAAUUACAAAAAUGAGAUCUCAUAAAAAUUAGAGUGGCUGAAAACGUUGGAGGUGGUGAGGAGAGGGGAAGGGAAUAAGAGGGAGAAGAAAAUUUUCUUUACAAAUAGAACAAAGAAUAGCAUAAAAGAGAAUAAAAAUGAAAUCAAGGUCUGUUAUUCUGAAAUA